UAGAGGUAGGAAAAGGGUAGAGGGGUCUCAGAGGUAGGAAAGGGGUAGAGCUCUGUGGCCCCUCUGCCCCUUUUCUACUUCUGAGGCCCCUCUACCCUUUUCAUAGUUCU
rnacentral:miRNA from 1 species